AGCGAACGUUAGCGGCGCGCCUAACACAUGCAAGUCGCACGAGAAAGGGCUUCGGCCCCGGUACAGUGGCGCACGGGUGAGUAACACGUGGGUAACCUUCCUAGAAGUGGUGGAUAACCUGCCGAAAGGCGGGCUAAUACAGCAUACGACCGCGAGCUUUCGAGCUUGCGGUGAAAGCAGGCCUCUGUUCACAAGCUUGCGCUUCUAGAUGGGCCCGCGGCCCAUCAGCUAGUUGGUGAGGUAAUGGCUCACCAAGGCUACGACGGGUAGCUGGUCUGAGAGGAUGGCCAGCCACACUGGAACUGAGACACGGUCCAGACUCCUACGGGAGGCAGCAGUGGGGAAUCUUGCACAAUGGUCGAAAGACUGACGCAGCGACGCCGCGUGGGCGACGAAGGCCUUCGGGUUGUAAAGCCCUGUGGGGAGGGACGAACACGCUCUGGUCGAACAGGCCAGGGCGCUGACGGUACCUCCUUAGCAAGCACCGGCUAACUCUGUGCCAGCAGCCGCCGUAAAAC
rnacentral:rRNA from 1 species